AAGAAGAACUCAACAAGCGCCUGGCCACAGAGGAUGAAUUUGCAGCACUCAGGAAGGAUAUAGAUACUGCUUACAAGGAUAACGUCGAUUUGGAUGUGAAGACAGAUUUGUUGAUAGAACAAAUUGUAUGCUUGAGAGGUAUUUAUGAAAUGGAGCUAAUGGAACUUCAGAGAAGAGUCCAUGAUGGCACCAAUGACAUUGUCUUCAUGAAUAACCACAGAAACCUGAAUAUGGACAACUCCUUGAAAGAGGUCAGAUGCCGAUAUGAAGAGAUUGCACAGAGGAGCAAAGAAGAAGUGGAUGCACGAUGUGGA